UAAGCUGGCGGCAUGCAUAACACAUGCAAGUCGAACGGCAGCGCGGGCUUCGGCCUGGCGGCGAGUGGCGGACGGGUGAGGAAUACAUAGGAAUCUGCCCAGUCGUGGGGGAUAACCCGGGGAAACCCGGACUAAUACCGCAUACGACGGUGACGUGAAAGCAGGGGACCUUCGGGCCUUGCGCGAUUGGAUGAGCCUAUGUCGGAUUAGCUAGUUGGCGGGGUAAAGGCCCACCAAGGCGACGAUCCGUAGCUGGUCUGAGAGGAUGAUCAGCCACACUGGGACUGAGACACGGCCCAGACUCCUACGGGAGGCAGCAGUGGGGAAUAUUGGACAAUGGGCGCAAGCCUGAUCCAGCAAUGCCGCGUGGGUGAAGAAGGCCUUCGGGUUGUAAAGCCCUUUUGUACGGGAAGAAAUCAUCCGGGUUAAUACCCUGGGUGGAUGACGGUACCGUAAGAAUAAGCACCGGCUAACUUCGUGCCAGCAGCCGCGGUAAUACGAAGGGUGCAAGCGUUAAUCGGAAUUACUGGGCGUAAAGCGUGCGUAGGUGGUUGUUUAAGUCUGUCGUGAAAGCCCUGGGCUCAACCUGGGAAUGGCGAUGGAUACUGGGCGACUGGAGUGCGGUAGAGGAUGGCGGAAUUCCCGGUGUAGCGGUGAAAUGCGUAGAGAUCGGGAGGAACAUCCGUGGCGAAGGCGGCCAUCUGGACCAACACUGACACUGAGGCACGAAAGCGUGGGGAGCAAACAGGAUUAGAUACCCUGGUAGUCCACGCCCUAAACGAUGCGAACUGGAUGUUGGUCUCAACUUGGAGGUCAGUGUCGAAGCUAACGCGUUAAGUUCGCCGCCUGGGGAGUACGGUCGCAAGACUGAAACUCAAAUGAAUUGACGGAAGGGC
rnacentral:rRNA from 1 species